rnacentral:lncRNA from 1 species
GAAAAAAGGGUUAAGAAACUUGGCUGAAGAGCUGAAUGGCGUGGAGCGGCGAGGGGAGGGACUGGGCCGCGGCCGCCUCGGCGGCGGAGGGAGGAGCGCGGCUGCGGGCGGGCGGCGAGCGAGGCGCUCAAAGUCAGCCUCGCAGACAUUGCAGCAGAGCCCCGAACUCGGGAGGCGGCGGCGGAGGAGGAGGCGGCGGCGGCGGCCGAGGCGGAGGGACUACCCGGCCCCGCGCUCGCCCGCGCGCCCGCCCGUGGCCUCGCGUCGGCCGCUGCGCCCGGCAGCGCUGCCGAUCGGAGGGAAGAGCUCGCCGGGGCGCUGAGGGAGGACGGGGCAGCGGGGCGCCUUCGCGGAGUGAGCCGGCCGGAGCCCCGGCGCUCGGAGCCGCGGCGGCCUCUGAGAGUGCUUGGAUUGUGAGCGAUUUAAGAACUCUGUUCUCAGGACCCAUUACUUUAAUACUGGGGAGAAACACAUCCAGAAGACACUCACUAGAUUGA